AACGCGAAGAACCUUACCUGGGCUCGAACGGCUUUGGAACAUCCUUGGAAACAGGGACUUCCCGCAAGGGACCGGAGUCGAGGUGCUGCAUGGCUGUCGUCAGCUCGUGUCGUGAGAUGUUGGGUUAAGUCCCGCAACGAGCGCAACCCUUGUCCUGUGUUGCCACUCCCGUAAGGGAAGCACUCUCAGGAGACCGCCAGCGAUAAGUUGGAGGAAGGUGGGGAUGAUGUCAAGUCAUCAUGGCCUUUAUGUCCAGGGCUACACACGUGCUACAAUGGACGGUACAAAGCGCUGCAAACCCGCGAGGGGGAGCUAAUCGCAAAAAACCGUUCUCAGUUCGGAUCGCAGGCUGCAACUCGCCUGCGUGAAGCUGGAAUCGCUAGUAAUGCCGUAUCAGAACGAUGGCGUGAAUACGUUCCCGGGCCUUGUACACACCGCGUGUCU
rnacentral:rRNA from 1 species